rnacentral:rRNA from 1 species
GACGAACGCUGGCGGCGUGGAUUAGGCAUGCAAGUCGAACGGUAUCAUCCUUUCGGGGGUGAGAGAGUGGCGAACUGGUGAGUAACACGUAGGUUAUCUACCCUCAAGACGGGGACAACCCAGGGAAACUUGGGCUAAUACCGGAUGUGAGCAACUUUUAGUUGUUUGAAAGGUGGCGUAAGCUGUCGCUUGGGGAUGAGCCUGCGUCCUAUUAGUUAGUUGGUGAGGUAACGGCUCACCUAGGCAAUGAUAGGUAGGCGGCCUUAACGGGUGGUCGCCCACACUGGGAUUGAGAUACGGCCCAGACUCCUACGGGAGGCAGCAGUCGAGAAUAGUCUACAAUGGUCGGAAGACUGAUAGUGCGACGCCGCGUGAGCGAAGAAGGCCUUCGGGUUGUAAAGCUCUGUCUGGAGGGACGAAGGAAGUGACGGUACCUCCGGAGGAAGCCACGGCUAACUACGUGCCAGCAGCCGCGGUAAAAUCAACGUGUA